rnacentral:miRNA from 1 species
UUGAGAAGGGCGGUGCAGGUACA